rnacentral:tRNA from 1 species
CCUGUAGACAUAGUUUAAAGCAAAACAUCGGGCCGUGAACCCGAAAACAGAAGCCCAUUCC